GGAAGAGAAGGGAAUUGGGUGACCACUUUCCUGAAGACCUUAGUAUAAUCCCAUGAUCUCACCGGAAAAUGCACAAACACUCAUCAUGUGAUUUCAAGACAGAGAGGAAUGCUUAAACUCAGAUCUCCAGAAAGGGUUUUGAAUAUAUGGGUGAAUAAGGCAUCCUGUUUUCCAGAUGGAUAAUGCACACCAGUGCCUCAUCGAGGUGUUUUUGUUGGCCCCACACCCCACCUCAAGGACGGCAGCGAUGUCUGGUUUCCUUGCAUAUCCAAGUGGGGACACUGCUGAGACAGUGGAACAAAUGUACUGAGAAAAACCAUGUGGUACAGUGCACUCCUGGGCAAGAGCACUCUGGAGUUGGCUUCAGCAGGCUCAUGAUACUGAUCUUGACUCUCACCACAAUGGAGAAGAUGCUGGGCUAUUACUUCGAAUAUACAAAUGAACAACUGUAGUAAAGCUAUCCAGGCUAACUCUUCCCGGGGAUUUCCUUGGAGAGAAGAGUGGUCCGCUGAGGCUGGUUUGCUUAACCUCUCCUUUAUCAAGAGAUGAUGACUGGCUUUAAAGGAAAAUAAAGCUGAAGAUGCAAUGCCCAGGAGCACAGCAGCCAUGUUCCACUCAGGAGGAUGAAUGCAACAUAUGAAAGAAGGCAGAGCAGAAGAACAGAACUUGUGUCCUCCAUGGCAUCUUUUAAGUCACUAAAUUGACAAUGGAUUACUAUCUCUGGGCCUUGUGUUACAUGUUGAGAAGGAAGGAAAGAGGGAACCUCAUUUGCUUAAACUACUAAAUCCAGGGCUCCGUAACAUCUAUCAAUAGAUCAUCAGAAGGGAUAUGCCCAAUUAUAACAAAAAUACAUCAUUCAUGCAGGAAUGCAUCAAAAAUUACCUUUACCAACACAAAAAACUAAAAUGGACACUGAUUUGUUUAUUAGCAAAUAGUUUUAGAACUUUCAGUGAUUCUCCACAAAUAUCUACAUAUACAUAUAAGGAGUCAUAAACACAUAGCUGUGUCC